rnacentral:rRNA from 1 species
UACAGAGGUCUCAAGCGUUGUUCGGAUUCAUUGGGCGUAAAGGGUGCGUAGGUGGCGCCGUAAGUCGGGGUGUGAAAUUUCGGAGCUUAACUCCGAAACUGCAUUCGAUACUGCGGUGCUUUGAGGACUGGAGAGGAGACUGGAAUUCAUGGUGUAGCAGUGAAAAUGCGUAGAGAUCAUGAGGAAGACCAGUGGCGAAGGCGGGGUCUCUGGACAGUUCCUGACACUGAGGCACGAAAGCCAGGGGGAGCAAAACGGGG